GGGGCUGUGGGAGGAAGAAAGGCUAGCGGGCGUUGGCCGUAUGUGGGUGUCUUGAGGCAGUUUUUCAGUUCUUUCAUUUACCAAAGUGACAUGCACCUACUAGGUGCCAGGUGUUUAGACGUACAUACAACCCUCUGCAAAAUCUUUCAGUGUAGUCCUCUGUAUGAAAAGUUUCCAGCCAAGAAUUGCCACUGCACCUGAGAUAAGGGGGAUCCUGGCCAUUAAGGAAACCUUGCCUUCGAAACUGAGCCGUGAGGAACUAUACAAAAUGGGAAAUUGGGACAAAUCCCAGUGGCUCAUGACACUAAGAAGUAAAAUUACGAACUCACUGAGCUGGAAGUCAUUCAACGGGAAUUGAAUAGGUAAGCUACUAUACUGGGAAAUGAAGGAGUAGGAAAGAAGGAAAACCUCAAGUUACAAACUAUGGGUGGAGAUUCAGCUACGAGGAUGGGGUGGUGUUUUAAGUAUUACCAUUUUACAAGUAAAUACUCACUAAAUGUGUGUAUCAUCCCACAACUAGUGGAAGGUGGGAUUCCAAACCACAUUUGUAACUUAGGAAACGUGCCCUUUCCACUACAAUACCACAAAUAAAUUGCUAUUGUGAAUAAAGAAUGGAACCAGUCAUCCUAAGCUCCUGGCUGUAACAAUAGUGUUAUGCUGAGGAAAGGCUGUUUCUUUUUUUUUUGAGACGGAGUUUCACUCGUCGCCCAGGCUGGAGUGCAGUGACACAAUCUCGGCUCAAUGCAACCUCUGCCUCCCGGGAUCAAGCUAUUCCCCUGCCUCAGCCUCCCGAGUAGCCGGGAUUACAGGCACCCGCCACCACGCCCGGCCAAUUUUUAUGUUUUUAGUAGAGACGUAGUUUCACCACGUUGGCCAGGCUGGUCUCAACCUCAUGACCUCAGGUGAUCCGCCCGCCUCCGCCUCCCAAAGUGUUGGGAUUACAGGCGUGAGCCACCGCGCCCAGCCAGGAGGCAAAGCUGUUUCAAUGGUGUAGUGGACAAGUUACCAGCCACGCAAGCCCUUUCCUGUAAACCACAGGACUCCUCCUUUGGCAACGGUGACUUGAGUACUUUUGACUUAAUUUCCAUAUGGGAGGAGAAAAACAUAAAAACAUACAUUUAUUAUUUACAAAUGCUGCAUCAUCUCAGUAAGGAAGAGCAUGUAUUUGCUUUUGAGUCUCAUUUGCCAUUGCACAUGUAAGUUACUCGAGUUAAAGUCUCAACCGUUUGUUUUCCCCCGCUUUGCUCAGAUGCCUACCACUUACCGUGUGUCUGUUCCACUCAGAAUACCAUCCACUUCUCCAUAUGCCUAACCCAGACCUGAAAUACCCAUCUGUCUUCAUGGAUAUGUCCACAGGUUAACAUCUUACAGCUUCCUCAAAUUCAACUUUAGCUCCUCCCACAAAACCAUCUCCUGAUUCCCCAACUUUGUAAAUGCACCAUUAUCCAUCCAGCCCCCAAAGCCAGAAACAUGUUAGAAUUCUCCAUUUGAGACUGAAAAGCCCACCUAAUUUUCCCUUGUUUAUGCUGGGAUGCCAUUGGGAUUUGAAAUAAUCUGAGCUGGUGGCUCAUAUCUGUAAUCCCAGUACUUUAGGAGAACAAGGCAGGGGGAUCACUUGAGGCCAGGAAUCGAGACCAGCCUGGGACCCCGAAAAAACAUUUUAAUUGGCUGGACGUGCCUGGCAUGCACCAGAUUCUCUGGAGGUUGUGGGCAGGGGAUUGUCUGAGCCUAGAAGUUCAAAGGUGCAGUGAGCUAUGAUCACACCACUGCACUACAGGCUGGGCAACAGAAACCCUGUCUCAAAUGAGUAAAUUUUAAAAUUUCCUGUGAAUCAAGUUCUUCAGUGACGUUGUAUUACACUCAAGAACAAUCUUAAGCCUAAGAUCCUCAGUUCAGUACAGGAGACCUCUCAUGUGGCAUUUUAGUUUUCUGGACUUUCCAGUCAGCCACUUGUGUUCCUAAAAUCUUCCUGCCAUUUCCUCUUUGAGAUGCCGCCCUAUUUCUUCCUCUACACUUUACGGUUUUAUGUUACGCAGCCAGUAUACCUACAUGCCUCUAUCCCUGAAUACCCCGAGUACUACUGAUCACAUCUACUUAACUGGCACAAUGAACACAGUAGGUACUUUUAGCUUAUGUUGGCCUUUUGGAGUGGGUGUCCAAGAUCAGCACUUCCUCGCGCUGACUGCGUAAUUCCCAAGUUCAAUUUCAUUAGCAUUCUAAUAUACAACUUCCAACUUCCGGCCUUGAAGUACUGCUCACUUCUGGUGAAUACAGCAUCAGUGCACUUUGUUUGCCUUAAAACCACAAUCCUGGGAGGCUGAGACAGAAUGGCGUGAACCCGGGAGGCGGAGCGUGCAGUGAGCCAAGAUUGCGCCACUGCACUCCAGCCUAGACGACAGAGCAAGACUGUCUCAAAAAAAAAAAAAAAAAAACCACCACAAUCCUAAUAAAUGAGCCUGGCAGAGUACUAACACAAGCCCAUGUCCACGAAGCACGGGACUCCAACAAUGGCAGCUUUGGCUUGCAUACCACCAUUGGACUGACCAAACCUUUCUUAGAACUGCCAGUGUGACAGAGGGACCUCUGGGGGAGGGCGUCUUGCUUUCUCUUGGGUCAGUAUAUCUCACUACCCUCUUUGUAGGUUAGCAGAUUUGUAACAGGAUGUUACUGGAGGAAGGGGAAGUGGGAAAGCUGGACAGUAUUCCCACUCUUUUCCCUUACUACAAAAACUUUCCUUCUCAGUCCUGUCUCCAGGAGAUGGAAGACCAAAUAACACAACAGCCAGUGUGCUUUUCCUACCCAAUCCUUUCUUUCACCCUCUUAUCCUAAUACAUUUCCAGCAUGUUAAUUCUUUUGCAGCAUAGACAAGAGAACCCAUACACGCUGCAAAACUGCAAAAGGGCUUAGGUGGCAAACUCCCAGUUUCUUGUUGACAUUUUCAGUGCAAUUUAAAGAUGUUAAUUUAAAAAACUACCUGUGCUGUAGAGAUCAGUAACCCUCAGGGGGCAGACAAAAAGACUGUUACUGCAUCAGUUAGAAAUGUAGUACUACCUGGGCAACAUAGUGAGGCCCAUCUCCACAAAUAACUAAAAAGUUAACUGGUUGUGGCUGCACAUGCCUGUGGCCCCAGCUAUUUAGGAGGCUGAGGCAGGAGGUUUGCCUGAGCCGAGGAGGUUGAGGUUGAGGUUGCAGUAAGCUGUAAUCACGCCACUGCACUCCAGCCCAAGCAACAAAACAAGACCUUGUCUUC
rnacentral:lncRNA from 10 species